rnacentral:rRNA from 1 species
AUGCUCACUAUUUGGAAGAAAGGGUCGUUUCCAUUUUCACGAUGGGAUCUUGUGUCCAAGAUGUUUCCUAAUAGAAGAGAAGUGCAUACAGCCCCGUGCCAUGACGAGAAGAAGCUGAAGAGAGUGUCAUACGAGGACAUUCUUAAAGCUACCAACUGGUUUUCUUUGGUCCAUACUAUCAGCUCAACUUGUAUUGGUUCAGUUUAUGUUGGUAGGUUCAAGUCCGACAAGAGCCUAGUUGCCAUCAAAGUAUUCAACUUGAACGAACCUGGUGGAUAUGAGAGUUACCUUAUUGAGUGUGAAGUGCUCCGAAGCACCCGCCAUAGAAAUAUAAUGCGACAUGUGACCCUAUGCUCAACAUUGGAUUCACAAAACCAUGAGUGCAAUGCACUAAUCUUCGAGGUCAUGGUUAAUGGAAGCCUGGAGGCAUGGUUGCAUUCUGAGCAGCACAAUGGAAUUCUAGACAAAGUGCUAAGCUUUGGCCAGAGGAUACGCAUAGCAGCAGAUGUGGCUUUUGCUCUUGAUUAUGCCCACAAUGAACUGACGCCUCCUUUGAUCCAUUGUGAUUUGAAGCCAAACAAUGUCCUUUUGGAUGAUGACAUGACUGCGCGGCUCAGUGACUUUGGCUCAGCAAAGUUUCUAUCACCAGGUCUAGUAAUUCCUAAAAGCCUGCAUGAUGUUGGAGGGACAAUUGGAUACGUGGCACCUGAGUACAGAAUGGGCUGCGAGAUCUCCGUAGGCGGUGAUGUGUAUAGUUUCGGAGUGCUUCUACUGGAAUUGCUUACUGGAAAACGACCUACUGAUGAUAUGUUUGUGGAUGGACUUAGCCUUUGUAAGUUCUGUGAAUCUAAGUUCCCAGACAGAGUUGCAGAGAUUCUUGAUCCUCAUAUGUCGCAUGAGGAGCAUCAAGGGUGCGCAGAAGGAUGGAUUCAGAGAUAUAUUGUCCCCUUGGUUGCCCUUGGGCUGUCAUGUACGGUGGAAUCUCCGAAGGAUAGGACCGGAAUGAAAGAUGUUUGUGCAAAACUUUCUGAUAUUAGAGCCUCUUUUCUUUAG